rnacentral:pre_miRNA from 1 species
UCUUAUGGAAGAGCAAAAGUGGUUUUUUGAGAUGGAAUCUACUCCUGGUGAAGAUGCUGUGAA